rnacentral:rRNA from 1 species
GAUGAACGCUGGCGGCGUGCCUAAUACAUGCAAGUCGAGCGAACAGACGAGGAGCUUGCUCCUCUGACGUUAGCGGCGGACGGGUGAGUAACACGUGGAUAACCUACCUAUAAGACUGGGAUAACUUCGGGAAACCGGAGCUAAUACCGGAUAAUAUAUUGAACCGCAUGGUUCAAUAGUGAAAGACGGUUUUGCUGUCACUUAUAGAUGGAUCCGCGCCGCAUUAGCUAGUUGGUAAGGUAACGGCUUACCAAGGCAACGAUGCGUAGCCGACCUGAGAGGGUGAUCGGCCACACUGGAACUGAGACACGGUCCAGACUCCUACGGGAGGCAGCAGUAGGGAAUCUUACGCAAUGGGCGAAAGCCUGACGGAGCAACGCCGCGUGAGUGAUGAAGGUCUUCGGAUCGUAAAACUCUGUUAUUAGGGAAGAACAAAUGUGUAAGUAACUAUGCACGUCGUGACGGUACCUAAUCAGAAAGCCACGGCUAACUACGUG